ACAUGCAAGUAGAACGCACAGGAUGCACCGUAGUUUACUACACCGUAUCCUGUGAGUUGCGAACGGGUGAGUAACGCGUAGGUAACCUGCCUGGUAGCGGGGGAUAACUAUUGGAAACGAUAGCUAAUACCGCAUAAGAACAUUUACUGCAUGGUAGAUGUUUAAAAGGUGCAAGAGCAUCACUACCAGAUGGACCUGCGUUGUAUUAGCUAGUUGGUGAGGUAGCGGCUCACCAAGGCAACGAUACAUAGCCGACCUGAGAGGGUGAUCGGCCACACUGGGACUGAGACACGGCCCAGACUCCUACGGGAGGCAGCAGUAGGGAAUCUUCGGCAAUGGGGGGAACCCUGACCGAGCAACGCCGCGUGAGUGAAGAAGGUUUUCGGAUCGUAAAGCUCUGUUGUUAAGGAAGAACGUGUGUGAGAGUGGAAAGUUCACACAGUGACGGUACUUAACCAGAAAGGGACGGCUAACUACGUGCCAGCAGCCGCGGUAAUACGUAGGUCCCGAGCGUUGUCCGGAUUUAUUGGGCGUAAAGCGAGCGCAGGCGGUUAGAUAAGUCUGAAGUGAAAGGCAGUGGCUCAACCAUUGUAGGCUUUGGAAACUGUUUAACUUGAGUGCAGAAGGGGAGAGUGGAAUUCCAUGUGUAGCGGUGAAAUGCGUAGAUAUAUGGAGGAACACCGGUGGCGAAAGCGGCUCUCUGGUCUGUAACUGACGCUGAGGCUCGAAAGCGUGGGGAGCGAGCAGGAUUAGAUACCCUGGUAGUCCACGCCGUAAACGAUGAGUGCUAGGUGUUAGGUCCUUUCCGGGACUUAGUGCCGCAGCUAACGCAUUAAGCACUCCGCCUGGGAGUACGA
rnacentral:rRNA from 1 species